CAAGCGUGUCCGGAUUUUUGGGCGUAAAGCGAGCGCAGGCGGUUUUUUAAGUCUGAUGUGAAAGCCUUCGGCUCAACCGAAGAAGUGCAUCGGAAACUGGGAAACUUGAGUGCAGAAGAGGACAGUGGAACUCCAUGUGUAGCGGUGAAAUGCGUAGAUAUAUGGAAGAACACCAGUGGCGAAGGCGGCUGUCUGGUCUGUAACUGACGCUGAGGCUCGAAAGUAUGGGUAGCAAACAGGAUUAGAUACCCUGGUAGUCCAUACCGUAAACGAUGAAUGCUAAGUGUUGGAGGGUUUCCGCCCUUCAGUGCUGCAGCUAACGCAUUAAGCAUUCCGCCUGGGGAGUACGGCCGCAAGGCUGAAACUCAAAGGAAUUGACGGGGGCCCGCACAAGCGGUGGAGCAUGUGGUUUAAUUCGAAGCUACGCGAAGAACCUUACCAGGUCUUGACAUACUAUGCAAAUCUAAGAGAUUAGACGUUCCCUUCGGGGACAUGGAUACAGGUGGUGCAUGGUUGUCGUCAGCUCGUGUCGUGAGAUGUUGGGUUAAGUCCCGCAACGAGCGCAACCCUUAUUAUCAGUUGCCAGCAUUAAGUUGGGCACUCUGGUGAGACUGCCGGUGACAAACCGGAGGAAGGUGGGGAUGACGUCAAAUCAUCAUGCCCCUUAUGACCUGGGCUACACACGUGCUACAAUGGAUGGUACAACGAGUUGCGAACUCGCGAGAGUAAGCUAAUCUCUUAAAGCCAUUCUCAGUUCGGAUUGUAGGCUGCAACUCGCCUACAUGAAGUCGGAAUCGCUAGUAAUCGCGGAUCAGCAUGCCGCGGUGAAUACGUUCCCGGGCCUUGUACACACCGCCCGUCACACCAUGAGAGUUUGUAACACCCAAAGUCGGUGGGGUACCCCU
rnacentral:rRNA from 1 species